rnacentral:rRNA from 1 species
AGAGUUUGAUCAUGGCUCAGGAUGAACGCUAGCGGCAGGCCUAAUACAUGCAAGUCGAACGGUAAGGCCCUUUCGGGGGUACACGAGUGGCGGACGGGUGCGUAACGCGUAUGCAACAUACCUCAAGCGGGGGAUAUGCCAGGGAAACUUGGUGCAACACCCCAUAGCAUUUCGGGACCGCAUGGUCUUGGGAUUAAAUAUUUAUAGCUUGGAGAUUGGCAUGCGUGACAUUAGCUAGUUGGCGGGUAACGGCCCACCAAGGCGACGAUGUCUAGCUGGUCUGAGAGGAUGAUCAGCCACACUGGGACUGAGACACGGCCCAGACUCCUACGGGAGGCAGCAGUAGGGAAUAUUGGACAAUGGGGGGAACCCUGAUCCAGCCAUGCCGCGUGAGGGAAGAAGGUCCUCUGGAUUGUAAACCUCUUUUGGCGGGGGACAAACCUGCACUAUACGUGCAGCUGAGGGUACCCGCAGAAUAAGCACCGGCUAACUCCGUG